UAGCUGGUAAGGGCAUGGUGGGAUCUAAGUCGUUUCUAGAUUCCAAGCUCUUGCUUUCUCUACAUCCAUAGUAUUAAUCUCUUUUAUUGUACUAAAAUAAAAUAUUGGCGGUGAGCUUUUUACUUUCAGAAUCACCCUCCUGCCUCUUUGGCACACAGGUAAGAAGGGUAGAUAGAGACACAGACUCAGACACUGGAAUCCUUUCUGUUAUUUGUAGUUAUAACCCAGGUUCCCUGCAUUCAAGGAGCCCCCUUGUAUGAGUCAGUUCUUGCAUUGCUAUACAGAAAUACACUAAAAAUAUUUUUAAAAUCACAUUUUCAGUAAGAAAGGGUGAGAGACAGUUCUAAGAUUAAUUUAUCUUUCUACUUAAUCUUGGGGCUGAUUUUAAAUCCGUUUUAAAGUCUUACUGUGGCUUCACUGUUCCAGCUCAUAGUCCAGAAGUGUUAACAUAAAACCACGUUGCAU
rnacentral:lncRNA from 1 species